rnacentral:lncRNA from 1 species
CCCUCCCAGCACAGCUGGAUUCAUCCUGGGACGACGGGACUGCGUGGCACGAUUCCGCCGGUACCCUGAGACAUGUGUGAAAAAUUACCCUGCUGCUGCUACACUAAUCGCAGCAUGCAGCACGUAUACUUGAAAACACAGUAUGCAAAGUCUGACCCUGCCAGAUAUCUGCUCUGGCCUGAGAGCUGCCAUGCCCUGGUCUCUGUUGACAGAGGUCCCUGGCACAUGUCCCCAUGGGAUCUGAGGAGCCCCCACGAGGUGGUGACACCGCUGGUGCCUCCGCGUGCUGCCAGAGGAAUCCCAACUUCCCAACAGGUUUCUGUCGCCGUGGAAUUAGAGCAGCACAAAUGGAAUGUCAUACAAGAUGGUGUCAAAAGCUUUAUGAAAAUCCCUGUAUAUGGCAUCUUCCCUGUGACACCGAGAGGAUUCUUGAAGACAACUGCUGAACGCUCUGGAUCUGCGGGUUCAGGAGCCCUCCAUGAUCAACCCCGGCUAAUCUAAAAAACAACUCGUCUAAGGACUUUCUAAUCUGUUCCCUCUUUCCGUCAUUUUGCUGAAGAUUUCACACUUCUGUCGCUGGGGCUCGCGGGAGGAGCUCCCUUUUUAGUAAAGGCAGAAAAGCAAAAGGAGCGUCGUGCUUGUGCCUGUCACCUCCCAGCACCAGUUCUGCGUGGUGGAGCACUGGACCACCUCUCACUUUCGCCCUCUGCUUGCUGACAGAGCAGCUCUCGGUGCCUCCCCAUCCUCUGAGCCUUUAUAUCCUUUGGAGCCUGGACCCGCAGACUUUGUCCCCAAUUCCUCGAGCUUUUAACCAUCCAUCCCAAGUAACCUGAAGUGUUUUUUUUUUCUUUUCACUUCUGCCCCAUGUUUGAAACCAGUCAGUUUGUGGUUUUGAAAAGGUGAUCUUUUAAUUAAUUUUGACUGCUUCUUCUUCAUCAGAACAGUCUGCAUUUGUUGCUGUUGUUUCUCUAAGUAGCCACAAGUUCUUUUUAGCAAUCUGCAUAGAUUUGCCUUCCCUCUGCUCAACCUCACUGAUUCUACCAGUUUAUGAAGCAGCUGUUUUUGUCUUGUUAUCCUUCCCUUUUGGCCAGAAGCAAAUCUAGACAGCUUUAGCUUUUUUGUUUGUCUGUUUUACCUUUCGGGUAAGAACUGCUCUACCAAUGCAGUCAUAAAAUUUGCCAAGCAAUCAAUGAUUUACAGGAUCCCUGUCAAGCAAUUCUGAGUAGCUAAAAUCCCUCGCUACCACCACGUACCAUCUUUCAGAUGAUUUUGCAAACCACUCAUUAAAAUGGCUGUUCUGUUUUCUCUUCCUAGUUAUAUGCCUCUGCUCUAGCAGCACCCAUUUUUCCUUCUUUAAUUCUUAUUCAGAGCCUAUUUCCUCCUGCAGUCUUAGAGAAUGUACCUAUGCUCUUGAUAUCCUCCUUUUUCUCCUUGUUCGCCCUUCCUGAACAAGCUAUACAGUUGGAUAUUAAUAUUCCAGACAUAAGUUAUCCCAACAAGC